AUUGAACGCUGGCGGCAUGCCUUACACAUGCAAGUCGAACGGUAGCGGGCCUUCGGGUGCCGACGAGUGGCGAACGGGUGAGUAAUGUAUCGGAACGUACCUUUCAGUGGGGGAUAACGUAGCGAAAGUUACGCUAAUACCGCAUAUUCUGUGCGCAGGAAAGCAGGGGAUCGCAAGACCUUGCGCUGAUUGAGCGGCCGAUAUCAGAGUAGCUAGUUGGUGAGGGAAGGGCUCACCAAGGCGACGAUCUGUAGCGGGUCUGAGAGGAUGAUCCGCCACACUGGAACUGAGACACGGUCCAGACUCCUACGGGAGGCAGCAGUGGGGAAUUUUGGACAAUGGGGGCAACCCUGAUCCAGCCAUGCCGCGUGAGUGAAGAAGGCCUUCGGGUUGUAAAGCUCUUUCGGCCGGGAAGAAAUCGUAUCAGCUAAUACCUGGUGCGGAUGACGGUACCGGCAUAAGAAGCACCGGCUAACUACGUGCCAGCCGCCGCCGUAAUAC
rnacentral:rRNA from 1 species